AGCUGAGAUCUUGAAUUAAUUUCAUCUGUGAGACUCUUGCUCCUGGACGAAACCGCUUCUAUGCAUUCGAAAUAUAUCAACUGGGCUCUCGAAGCCAACCACCCCCAAAGCACCCCAGCUGAUCAACGUUUACAUGAACGAACAGGACCCAAGUACAAGGGUAUCGGUGCUACCUAUGACGAAAUCCCCUUAUCGAGUCAGAUGUGGGCCUACUGGUUAACGCGUUCAGAAAAGCUUGUGUUGACAAAAGCUCUCGAUUCCUGAUUAACCGUUGGGGCCUAUAUCUGAAGGCGAAACAGUUUGAGUUUACGUCAGACGUAGUGAGUCUAUUAAUUUAUUAUUGAAACUCGUCGCACGCCCCUCGAAAGCAGCCAGGAAAAUAAAGGAUCUCAUUCGUUCAUGUUCCUUUCCAUGGCGUUGUUGUUGAAUGGCGCUUUUCUAUAACUAUAGUCGGGAGAAACAAACAAUUAAAACUCGAACCUAUAGUAGACGGUUUUCAAUGGUGCCAUAGCGCACAAGCAGGCAAAGUUCCCUCGAAGUUUAAACUUUGCUAAGGCUCUCAAGAGUCUAAUGGGUGGGUAACCCCCUCUCCCCUCAUGGACUGCCAAAAA